rnacentral:rRNA from 1 species
AUGUCUCUGGCCCGCCUCGGCCAGUCGCUGGUCCGCCGCCUUCACCGGCCUCUCCACCUGCCUCCGCCGCUGCCGCCAGAUCACUAUGCCACCGUUUCCCGAUCUUUAGCUCUGAUCCACGCGAAUACAUCUGUAAGAGGCUUUGCAAGCUUAGCAUACAAUGGCGGCGGCGUGAUUUCUGGCAAGUUUGGAGGGCCGUCGCAUGUCCACACCGCGCAGAUUCUAGAGCUUGCAGUCCACCUAAAUCAUGCAAGACCAAUGUCGUCAGGAGCAGGAGCAGCCCCAAAACCACCAUCCCUGUCCGAAGGCGUUUCUUUUGGUGGUUACAAGGUUGCUUUGAAAGCUGACAUGCCGAGCCCUGGUUUUGUUUUUGAGCCAUACCGUGUCCCGGAACCUAUCCCAUUUUGGAAAAGAUUGUUUACACCAAGUGGCUGGAGUAGAACAAAAGAGGAUGCUAUUCUGCAGUUCAUGAAUGCAUUUACUGUGUCAAAGUUGAGGAAGAAAAUCGGAUAUAACAAAAAACAGUUCCAGGAGCAAGCGUUUAAUAUAUACAAGGAGGUUAACAAGCUUAUUGCACGAGGAGACAUACCAUCUCUCCAGAAAGCUCUCACAGAUGAUAUGCAUUCUACUGUCAAAAAUGAAAUAAGGAAAAGACAAUCCAAGUGGAAAUCUGUACACUGGGAAUUGGUGGAGCCUGCUGUAAGCAUAAGAACUUUGAAGGCUCGUAUGAUUACUCUUGAUAAGAAUGACCUUAACAAAGCUUACGUACAGCUUACGCUUGAGUUCAUCACUAAGCAGAAAUUUGAAGCCUAUAAUUCAAAAAGAGAGGUUGUGUCAGGAGACAAGUCAAAGGAGGUGCUGGUGAAAGACAUAUGGGUGUUUGAAAGAUCCCUUUUCCACCCUGGAGCAUACUGGCGCGUGUGUGCGCGAAUCACGCUGUAA